CAAACGCGUUUAAAACAAAUGUGAUCUAAGAAAUGACAAUUUUAAAAAUCAUCGUUAUUUGAAUACAAAGUUUGGAAGGUCUCUUUUAUCUUAUCGUGGAACUUUUCUAUGGAAAAUUCUAUUUUUUUAAAAAUUGUUUUUUAAAUGGAUGGAGUUCUACGAAAUCCACAAUUUCAAAUUAAAUUGUCCGAACUACUUGAUCAAGAUUGGUUUAAGAUUGGUAUUUACUUAAAUAUCAAAGAGCGUAUGUUAGAAUCAAUCAAGAAUGAUUCUAUGAAUUUUCCAAAACCAGAACAGAAAGCAUAUGAAAUGAUAAAAAAAUGGUUCAAUUUUGAUAAAAAUCCGACGUUUGAAAAGUUACAACUUGCUAUUUUAAGUAUUCCAAAAAACGAUUUAUUGAAGGAGGUGGAAGAUCUUGCAAAUAUGUUUUUAAACGAUUCUUCACAUUCACCAAGUAACACUAGCGAAAGAAAUUCUUUAUUAAACACCGGUAAAAAUGCAAUACAUACUAUAAUAACAUGUUAAUG
rnacentral:lncRNA from 1 species